ensembl:lncRNA
GGAAACUCUGGAUGGUCUGAAUGAGCAGGAGCUAGAGGAGUUCAUCCAGACACUGCAACUAAUUCAUUACAAUUAUGAGUCAGUCCUCUCAUGGAUGUGGUACAAGUGGACAGACCUGCAGCACCACAGUGUUUCUGAUGGUGCAGACUUACGGCCAACAGUCAGUGGAGAAGACCAUGGAGGUCUUAAAGAAGAUGAAGAGGACUGAUCUGGCUCAGAGGCUGUCAGACUGCAGCUCACUGCCUAGAAAGAAACACUCUGUGGAUGAACGACGCUCUGCACUGAUCCACAAAUUCCAGGUGGCAACAAUUGCAGCUGUUAAACAUCUGCUUUUAGAACCUUUGAAUGAUUUGAGUGAUGAGGAGAUCAAGAAAUUUAAGAGGCUCCUGCAGAUGAUCAUUCCUUGGAGGAAUCGGUCAUUCUUCUCAUAUAACUUGAGUCGGUCAUCAAUCAUAGCAGAUUUAAUGAAUCUGAUGAUGGAUAAAGUUGGUCAGCAGUCUGUGGAGGUGACCAGAGAAGUUUUCAUGCGCAUGAACAGAACUGAUCUGGUGCAGAAGUUAUCAGAGAGCAGCUCAGCAUCCAGAGAGAAACACUCUGUGGAUGAACAUGGAGCUGCACUGUUGAAGAGAAUAGAAGCACAGGAAGCUGUUACACAGAUUCUCUUGGAAACACUGAAUGAAUUCAGUCAAAAUGACCUCAAGAAAUUCAAGCAGGUGCUGCCGUUCACGUGCUUUAAGAUGGGCCUGCCACAAAUACAUAUGUAUACAAACAGGACAGAAGACCUUGUGAAUCUGAUGGUGGAUGAACUUGGUCAUCAGUCUGUGGAGGUGACCAUGGAGGUUUUAACAGACAUGAACAGACCUGAUCUGAUGCUGAGGCUGUCAGAGAGCAGCUCAG